UUGAACUGUGUCCUCCAAAAAGAUAUAUUUAAGUCCUAACUCCUGAGGCCCGUGAAUACGACCUUCCUUGGAAAAGGGAUCCAUGCAGAUGUAAUCAAUUAAGAUACAGUCAUUAGGGUAGAUCCUAAUCCAAUAGGACUGUUGUCCUUAGAAUCAGAAAAGGUCCUGUGAAGACAAAGAUACACAGAGAGACGGCCAUGGUACAGUGGAGACAGACACUAGACUGAUGCAGCUGCAAGCCAACGGAUGUCAAGGACUGCUUGAGGACACCAGAAACUAAAGGAAAGGCAUGCAACAUGUUCUCUCCGAAGAGCCUUCAAGAAAAUAUUUCUCUCCCUAUACCUUGAUUUCAGAUUUGUGGCCUCCAGAACUGUGAGAGAAUAAAUUUCUAUUGUUUUAAGCUACCCUUCAGGAAACUAAUACAGGUAGAAAAGAGGACAUCAUCAUUAAAUAGCUGCAAGAAAUAGAACAUUUUUAAAAGAAAAAGUAGAAGAGGAGAAAAAGAAAUAUGAGCAGAAGGAGUGCUAGAAGCAAGAGGAAAAGAAGAGGACAAAAAGACCUCAGACAGAGAUCACGAGUUGGCAGAGAGGCAGACAGAGCAAGAGGGAGAAGCAAGCUCUCUGCUGAGCAGAGAGCCCAAUGUGGGGCUCAAUUCCAGGACCGUCAGAUCAUGACCUGAGCCAAAGACAGAGGCUUUAACCCACUGAGCCACCCAGGAGCCCCCAUCCCAUCUCCUGUUUUUUAAAUGAAUUUCUACUGGAACUCAGUUACAGCCAUACUCAUUCUUUUUGUAUGCCUAUGAUUGCUUUCAUGCUACAAUGACAAAAAGUUGAGAAGCUGUAUCAGAAACUGCAUGGUCUGUUUACUCUCUAGCCCUUUACAGGGAACAUUUGCUGGACUCAGAACUAGAUUAUAUUUUCAUUAAUUGCUUAGUCUGAUUUUUUAACAUAAAUCUAAAGUAAAAAUAAAUUUAACAAUUUACAUAAGAGUACUUGAUUCUUAGGUUUUAUGGCCAAUCCUGUCUAAAAGUAGUUCAGUAAUUUCUCUUUACAAUAAAAAUUCCUCUAAUAAUACUUCUUCAUACUUUAUUAAUUUAGCCAUCCGAAUGAAAAAAGUUGAGUCAUAAGUCUCUUUUAUAAAAUGAGGAAGUUGGACAAGAAGAUCUCAAUAGUAAAUAGUUAAAUCAUUAUGAUUCCAUAAUUAAAUAUGAGAUAUUAAGACAGAUGUUGCUCACAAACUUUAUUUUUAGCCAUGAACAUAAGUACAGUGAAUGUUUAGACAUUAGGUAAUAUAAUGGCUGUUGAGGAGCAUGAUAUUUAGUUCCAUUUGUAACAGCUAGAUACUGAGUUCCUAAUAUGUUCCUGCUUAAAAUAAAAUUCAGUGUCCAUAUGAUGUAUCUUUAAAAUAAAAUAGGAAUUUGCAUGAGUGUA